rnacentral:rRNA from 1 species
GAUGAACGCUGGCGGCGUGCCUAAUACAUGCAAGUCGAGCGAACGGACGAGAAGCUUGCUUCUCUGAUGUUAGCGGCGGACGGGUGAGUAACACGUGGAUAACCUACCUAUAAGACUGGGAUAACUUCGGGAAACCGUAGCUAAUACCGGAUAAUAUUUUGAACCGCAUGGUUCAAAAGUGAAAGACGGUCUUGCUGUCACUUAUAGAUGGAUCCGCGCUGCAUUAGCUAGUUGGUAAGGUAACGGCUUACCAAGGCAACGAUGCAUAGCCGACCUGAGAGGGUGAUCGGCCACACUGGAACUGAGACACGGUCCAGACUCGACGGGCGGCCGCAGUAGGGAAUCUUCCGCAAUGGGCGAAAGCCUGACGGAGCAACGCCGCGUGAGUGAUGAAGGUCUUCGGAUCGUAAAACUCUGUUAUUAGGGAAGAACAUAUGUGUAAGUAACUGUGCACAUCUUGACGGUACCUAAUCAGAAAGCCACGGCUAACUACGUG